UACACUCCUGCGGGAGGCAGCAGUGGGGAAUAUUGGACAAUGGGCGCAAGCCUGAUCCAGCCAUGCCGCGUGAGUGAUGAAGGCCCUAGGGUUGUAAAGCUCUUUCACCGGUGAAGAUAAUGACGGUAACCGGAGAAGAAGCCCCGGCUAACUUCGUGCCAGCAGCCGCGGUAAUACGAAGGGGGCUAGCGUUGUUCGGAUUUACUGGGCGUAAAGCGCACGUAGGCGGACUAUUAUGUCAGGGGUGAAAUCCCGGGGCUCAACCCCGGAACUGCCUUUGAUACUGGUAGUCUUGAGUUCGAGAGAGGUGAGUGGAAUUCCGAGUGUAGAGGUGAAAUUCGUAGAUAUUCGGAGGAACACCAGUGGCGAAGGCGGCUCACUGGCUCGAUACUGACGCUGAGGUGCGAAAGCGUGGGGAGCAAACAGGAUUAGAAACCCUGGUAGUCCC
rnacentral:rRNA from 1 species